rnacentral:lncRNA from 1 species
GAAGAUACACACUACAUUAUCUACACAAGACAACACUACACACAGGGAAUUCUUCGCACAAUUUUUCUCCACCAAACACACUGCCAUAAACACCAUCACAUAUUCACACAUACACAUCUCUAUUUGUUUCAUGGAUUAGCAACAACCCAAUUCAAAGACACAACCUCACUUUCACAGUCAUAUACACACGACACAUGGGAAAAGAAAAAAGAGGGUGAAGGGCUAGAUCGAGAUUGAGGAAAGAGAAUGAUGUGAGAGAAAAAAAGAAGAGUGAUAGAGAGAGAGUGAGAAAUAGGAGAAACACACACAUACACACAGUGAAGUCGCGUGCGAGAGAGACAAACAGAGAGUUUGAUCAAAAUGGGAGUGAACGAAAUCCGGCUGACUAUUUUGAGUUUUUCGAUGAAUUAUUCACCGAAAUUACCCAAUCCUCGCCGGAUUCUAUCAUACAAACUCAAAAUUAAUUCCAUAAGAUGAAAACCAACGAAAUCAAGUAGAAAUCUAUUAGUUGCGAGCUUCAUUCUCAGUUUUUCCAGUGAAGCAUUGAUUGGAAAAUGGGUUCGGUUAUUGUCAGUUUUCACAAUUUCUAUUUUGGGUCAGCGGAAAGCAAAAGAAGUGGUGCAUACCGAAGAUGAGGUUCACAUUGAGGCUCGAUUUGAGUUUUUGGAUUGCGGGUUUGGUCACUUCAUUCGAGUAUAUUGAAUUUUGAAAGCUCCAAAUUGAGGUCCAAUUCCAUUCUCUCCUCUUUUGUUUUAUUAUUUAUUAUAUUAUGUACUUUGAAUUGAACAUCGUGUGUUGGUUGAUCCUUGUUGGUAGUGAAUAGUUGUUUGGCGUUGAUUCAUUGUUGGUUUCUUUAACUAUACAUCGUGUGAUGAAAUGAUACCUUGCUUGAAAAUUACAAUCGAUAAUUUGGGAAUAAAAUUUGGGUGAGAAUUAAAAAUCAAUAAAACUGAAUAUUGUUGUGCCUCGACUCAUCGAUUGUUGUUGGAUUUGAAAUGAAUGUUAAUAUUAUCAAAUUCGAUACUAUCAUGAUUUAGGUCGAGAAUCAAUAGGCAAAUUUUAGGUUUGGGUAGGCAAAUUAUACAAAUUAAUGAUUGUUAAGUGAUUGAAUUAUUAUGUUUGAGAUGGUUUUAUUUUAUCGUACAAAAUUGAAAUUGUAUUUAUUUAGUCGGGGAAUGCCCCGAGGUCAUUUGUACUUAUUCAGUCGGGUAUUUCCCGAAGUAUCUUGUGCGCGAAGGACGUUCGUGAUCAAGGCCUGAGGCAUCGGGUAGAGCAUAGUUUAGGACUAGUGUAGGUUAUCGUAGGUUUAUUUCAGCAAUUUUUUUAUUUUUGAAUGUAAUAAUUGGAUUGGACACUAUAUUUUUGUUUGGUGAUUUUUUUUGUGUUUUAUUGGUUUAUACAUUCCGAUAGUGUCGUACUAGACGAUACAGUUCAUGGAGUGAUCGUGGUCACACUACGAGACCGAGGGAACCUAACACCUUCCUUUCAGUCAAUAGAAUCAAAAUUUUUAUUCGUGGAUCAGUUUUAAAGAGUCAAACCAUUUUGAAAAAGAUUUCCAACGGUGACUUGGCACACAAAAUUUAUGCCAAGUGGCGACUCUGAGUUCAAAUGUAAAGAAAUUCUUUUCGAAAUAAAUUUUUAUUUUAUGUCACUUAAUAAUAAAAACCCUUUCAAACUUAAAAUCUAUUCUUUUUUUAGUUAAAACGGGGUGUGACAGUUUGGUGAGUCUACUGGGGACUAUUUUCAGAAUUCAAGCUUAUUUUUGAGUUAUAUCAGCUUAGUUUGACACUAUAGGUGUUUAGACAUUUUGUUUGUGUUAUUGUUUUAGCAUUGUUGAGUGCCUACUUUCUACGUGUGUACAAUUUUUCUCUCUUAUGUGUUACCGCUUUAUAUCUAGCAUUAUUUGCAUAACCUGAGUUAAUUUUCUUGUAAUAAGUAUCGGAGUACACGUCAUGUACACGAACUCUAGUUGAGUCACCCUUAUUUUAAGAGGGAGAGCCGUCAGAUGUAUGGAGUAGGUGGAAAGCAAAAUAACCACUAUCGACCAUAUGCUCCCCCGAUCAGCCUUGUUAGUGGACCUCAACGUAGGUCAGCCUUUAGGUCAUGCUUAUCUGCAUCAUAUUGGGACCUAGAGGGGCGCACUUAGUCCUUUGUAGGAAAUUCACCCCAAAAGCAUUCCUACGUGCUAAUUGUUAAAUCUUUGAGGGUAAUAUGGUCAUUUGAUGGACUGGUUUGAGAAAAACAUAUGUUAGAAUUAAAUCAGAGUAUGUUUAGGCAAGAACAAUUCAAAAAAAGGGAAGAAAAGGAAAAAAAACAAGGAAAGGUGGAGAAAAAAAGAGUUUCGUAGCUGUUUAGAGUUUAUGGCUUUUAUUUUCUACAUCCAAAAAAAAAUCAAUCAAAAAGAGUUUUACCUUUUGCACUCAUUUGUCAAAAACAUAAAAAACAUCAAAAAGAUUCUUUUGAUUCUUUUAGAAAGCAUUCAUAAUUCGAAAGUUUUAAUUUUUUUUAAUAGGAGUUUUUAUAAAAGAAAAUUCAAAUGGUAGAAGUUUUGUACAUUUCAUAUAACGAAAAAACCAAAAAGAUUUCUUUCAUAGUUGUUGGUGUCACUUUUAGGUGAAGUGUCAAAUUGAAAACUCAAAAAGAUUUUAUUGACAUUGUUCAUCAUCUGUCUUUGGUCGGUUCUAUCAAGUCAGGGUUUAGUCUGUUAUUUAAUCCUUAAUUGUCCAAUCUGGACGAACUACACACACCUGAUUCUCCUCUCUCGGGAGUGAGAAACGUAGACAACCCUUCUAAGGUUCGGUGAUCUAUUAAAAAAAAUUUAAAAUGAUUUUUUCACUCUUCAUUUAGAGUAGGUGUUUCAUAUAUGUUUUGAAAAGAAAAAUUCAAAAAAAACAUUUUCCUUAAUAAUCUUAGGUUUAAUUUUGUGAUGAAAUUCAAAAUUGAAAAAUCCAAAAAGAUUUUCACAGUAUCUUUUGAAAAUAAUGAUAAAAGAAAGAAAAAAAAAUUUCUUUCCAUUUUAGAUUACUUGUAUACACAUGUUGCUUUAUCUGAAAAUUACAAAAAAAAGAGGAUUUUUCUUUAAGACUUUUAGGUUUCAUUUUUGCAUGAAUUUCAAACAAAAAAAAAGACCGUGUAAAUAUCUUUUGAAAAAAAAAAAGAGAAAGAAAGAUUCAUUUGGUAAUAGAUUAGUUAAUCAAUGCAUCCUUCCAUAUGAAAAAUACAAAAAAAAAUUCUCUUGAUAAUCACAGGUUUCAUUUUGCAUAGGGAAUUUAAAUUUGAAAAAUUCAAAUAAAAUUUUGUCAAUUCUUUUGAUAAUUUGUUAUUUUUUCAUCUUGUUAAAGUUUCAAAACAAGAAAAGAAAAAGAAAGAGAGUUUUAUUGGUCCUUUUUCGAAAAAACUUCAUGAACUAUGCACACCAGGUUCUCCUCUCUCGAGGGUGAGAUACGUAGGCGCCCUUCUUGGGUUUGGUGAUAUUUUUUAAAUAAAAAGAGCUAAAGAUUUUGAGAAAGUGUUGAAUUCAGAUGCAUUUGUUAUCUCUUGUUCAGUUAGUUUAUAGUGGUUGGUUUAUGGCAUUUUGGUUGGUCCCUCAUAUCACACCAAGCUUAAGGAAGAGUUAGUCAUAUCCAACAAGGAUAUAGAGAGUGACAUCAUGAAUCAGACAAAAAGUCUGGCAAAUGAGAAUUUAAAGAAAGAGAUUGUGAGACAAAGACAACAAAUGAUGGAAAUGCACCGAGCUUGGUUCAGUGGGUUGCCUCCUGUCUCUUUCUUCAUUUUUGACCCUGCAAAUACCUUGAGUCUUCCAUCAUAAUUGUGAAGUCAAUUUUCCACUGUUGUUGAUGUACCACAACAUGCCUCAGAAUUCACUCUAAGACAAAAACAUCCCAAUAUUUCUAUCACCUAUUCUUUAGCUCUUCAAUAUAAAUUUGCCAUAUUGAUAGCACUAUCUAUCAUUUAUGAUUUUGUUGCUCAAGCCUCUACUGAGGUUUUCACAUUGGCUAUCCGCCCAAUGGUUGUGCUUCCCAAGGCCGCUAAUGAAUGCAUGUUCAAUACUCUUGAUAAUCAUUGCUAUAUUCCUGAGUCCACAUCAAUGUUAAUUGGACCACCAAAAUUUCUUAACAAGAAGGCUAGGGAUAAUUUUACACCAAUUGUGGAGUCGUAUGCCAGUUUAUUCCAGAGAUUAAGAAAGUUGGGCAUGAUCACUCCUUUUCUUGGAUAUACUCCUGAUUCACAUUUAAGAAAUUUUGAUCCUUAUGUAUGAUGUGCAUAUCAUUAUGAUGUUCAGGGCCAUCGUAUUGAAGGUUGUAGUGCUUUGAAAAGAGAAAUAAAAAUGAUGAUUCAAGAAAAAUUGAUGAUAGUGCAAAACGUUAACACUACAAAGGUCACACAUAAUCCUUCACCAACACACAAUAAUGCACAAUAUAUGGGAAGCAAUGAGUCAAGCAUGGGGAUCCAGAACUUAUUUAUUGAAGGGAAUAUGUCAGAUAGCGGUGAAAGCUCUAGUCAUGAUGAUGUGUAAAUCAGUGGCUAAGAUGUCAAGCUCAGCAAUUAGGAAGUCAUUUCUCUCCUUACUUGGAAGGAUUGUUGGUAGUUUAUUUUGUUUCUCUUUCUGUUUUUUGAAUUAUUUUGGGGUUGUAGUUUGAAAUCUAUCGUGUUUUGUUUCUCUGUCAUCUUUGUUUAAAUCUUUCUAUUUUUCUUUUCAAUGAGAUUUAAUGUCCUUUGUCAUUUUGUUCUUUUUAAGUUGUUUGUUUGUCUUCUUUAUCAAAUUACAGUUUAUGUUAGUUCUAGUGUUAUGACAUGCUUGCGGAAUUUUUAGGCAGAUCUUAAAAUUCAGUUUAACCAUGUAAUGUUGAAUUAGAGGGCUAAAGUUAAAAAAAGGCAUAUGAGGAAAUGGUAGAGUGUUGAUACAUUUGGUGACCGCGUUGAAGCCUUCUUUCAAAAUUAAGGCAAUUAUUUUGAGAAUCACAAGAAUAACUUGGUCAUCCAUUGAAAAUCAUAUCUCAAUUAUGUUAAAUAGUGGAUGCGUGAUCCCUAUAUCAAGAGAAAUAGGAAGAUAAUCAGCUCCACGAAAGCAUGGAUCAUUCGAUGUGAGGGAUACACAACAAAUGUGGAGUUGUAUGUUUGACAAGUGUAGAAGAAGAAGUGGCACACAUGCUCAGUUAAAGUCAGUGUUGUUAAAGUGUCACAAAUGAUCUUCAUCUUUAACUUUAUACUGCAUGAUGUGUGCUUGCAUUUUCAAGGAUUGAUAUGAUGAAGGCUUUUCAUUCUGCUAUCCAAAUAUUGUGUCAUCCUUUAUUUGCCCCAUUUGAGCCUUAGUGUUUUUUUUUUCAUAUCCCGCUUUUGGAAUCAAGAUAAAUUCAAAAAGUUUUACAAAAAGAGUGUCGAGCAAAACAAUAGAGUCAGAAAAGUUUCAAAAAAAGAGAAGAGGGAAAAAAUAUGUCCAAAAAAAUAAAAAUAAAAGAGUGACAAGAAAAAUAGAGUCAGAAAAAAAUUGCACAGAGAAAAGAGUUGAUUUAAGAAAAAAAAGAAAAAAAAUCAGAAUCAAGCAAAAGAAUGAGUUGCCGGAACUACGUGUGACCUGAUUGUUUUAUUCCGGAGGUGAGAUAUGUAGGAUACCCCACUUUGGGCUCAGUCUAACCGAGUGAAAAAUUUAGAGUCACCCAGUCAAAAGAAACUAGGGCAUGAGUUAAUCCUCAUUGUUUGAGUCAAUUCCAAAAGUUGUAAGUCCUACCACACUUUGUCAUUUGAGCCUUAUGUCAUCCUUUCUUUCUAAACCUUAUCCAAAAUCCAAGUUAUAACCAAAGAAAGACCUUCAGAUCAAUCUUUGAGAAUAUUAAGGCUAAGCAUACAAUGCAUAAUGAUAAUGUAUUUUGGGAACUACUUGUCUUCGUUAGCAUAAGAAAUCAAGAGAGAAAUAAAAAUGAGAGAAUCUUAUUAGUGAAAACCCCCACAGGCAUCGUAAGACUAUGGUAAGUUGAGAGAGUCUUAUUGAUGAAAACCCUUAGGGGCACUAUAAGACGAAUGUAAGUUGAGAGAAAUAAAAAUAAGAGAGUCUCAUUGGUGAAAAACCUUCACAGACAUUAUAAGGUAUUGGUGAGAUGAGAGAAAAUGAGAUAGACUUAUUGGCAAAAACCCUUCAAGGUGUUACUAGCUGAAUGAGGUGUUAAACGCAAUUGACCUAAGGAAGAAACUCAGUUUCAUGGCGACAAUUGGUAGAAAGUUUGGAUAGAAAGAUCAGGCAGCUUAAUCCAAAAUGCAUGUCAUAAUCAUUAGAAUUGACUAUUAUUUUCAGAUAAGUUUUUGUUUCUUUGUUUUAAAAAAUGAACAAAUAUUGUCUUUUCUUUCUUCUUUAUAUUUCUAUUUUUGCCUUUUGAAUCUGUCAUUCGAACAGAAUUUUUUUUAAUGCAUUUGAGUCAAGUCUAUGUCAAAAUAAGUGGGAAAGGAUUUUAAAAUUUGCUACCAACUUCUUCAAUUGUACAAAGCAAGACAAAAAGGCCAGCACAUGAAAAAGACAUGACUAUGAGCGGAAAUAAGGCAUGCGUAAUGUUUUGUCAACAAACAAAUUUGGGUACUCCAGGAAAUACCAAGGUUCAAAGGGUUUAUCUGAGAAUCAUGACAAAGCUGAAAUACCAUGUUUGUUUUAGAGACUCUCUUAAUAAUCUAAGUUUAGGUCAAUGAUACAGUAAGUCAAUGAAUUAUACUAAUGGUUGGAAGUAAGGUUAAUGGAAAAAGUGCAAGGGAAAUCACCCAAAAGCCAAAGCCAUAAGCCAGCCACCCUGUUUUAAACUCGCAAGUUUUCUUUGUAUGAAACAAGAACAAUCGCUACCUUCUAAUCAAAGGAAUCAAAGCUCAAAUAUCCCGAGGUGCGAUUCCUCAUUUUUGUAAAUGCAAGAGCAGUGUUGCUAUACAGGUUUGGUAAUUACAGUCAUGGUAAACCUCAUCAUCUUGUACCCCUAAGAGGCACAUUCUCUAAUUUUGGGUCUUUUAUGUCUCAUGGCUAAGAGGUGCUCAUCCUAAUUUGAGCCUUUAAUCCUAAAAAAUGCACUUUUUGUAAGAAUAUUUCAAUUUCAUUCUUAAGAGAGGGACUUGUUGAUCUCAGUCAUUCAACUUUACCCUCAAAAGGUGCAUUUCUUGAUCAGAAUCUUAAUUAAUCUUUGCAUUAUGCAUUGUUGCAAGUAGUUGUGAUUGGGUUUGACACCUGCAAAAGCUUUUGAUGAUAAAUAGGGACAAAAAGAAAAUUUAAUUCUUGUUAUAAGGAACUUCACUUCAGGGCCCUCCUGGAAAAUGGGAAUUUACUUUAUGUUCAGGACCCUUCUGGAAAAUGAGAAUUUACUUUAUAUUCAGGACCCUCCUAGAAAAUGAGAAUUUACUUUCUGUUUAGGACCCUCCUGGAAAAUGGGAUCUUACUUUAUGUUCAGGACCCUCCUGAAAAAUGGGGAUUUACUUUAUGAUUAGAACUCUCCAGGAAAAUAAAAAUUUAUUUUAUGUUCAGGACCCUCCUGAAAAAUGAGAAUUUACUUUAUGUUCAGGACUCUCCUGGAAAAUGGAAACUUACUUUAUGUUCAGGAACCUCCUGAAAAAUGGGAACUUACUUUAUGUACAUGACCCUCUUGAAAAAUGGGGAUUUACUUUAUGAUCAGGACCCUUCUGGAAAAUGGGAAUUUACUUUAUGAUCAGGAUCCUCUUGGAAAAUGAAAAUUUACUUUAUGCUCAGGACCCUCCCAAAAAAUGGAAACUUAUUUUAUGUUCAGUACCCUCCUGAAAAAUGGGGAUAUACUUAAUGAUCAGCACCCUCCUAAAAAUGGGAAUUUACUUUAUAUUCAGGACCCUUCUGGAAAAUGAGAAUUUACUUUAUGUUUAGGCCCAUCCUGGAAAAUGGAAAUUUACUUUGUGUCCAGGACCCUCCUGAAAAAUGGAAAUUUACUUUAUGUUCAGGACCUUCCUGAAAAAUAGGAACUUACUUUAUGUUCAGGACCCUUCUGAAAAAUAGGGAUUUCUUUUAUGAUCAGGACUCUCCUGGAAAAUGAGAAUUUACUUUAUGUUCAGGACCCUUCUGAAAAAUGGAAACUUACUAUAUGUUUAGGACUCUCCUGAAAAAUGGAAACUUACUUUAUGUUUAGGACCCUCCUGAAAAAUGAGAAUUUAAUUUAUGUAUAGGACCCUCUUGAAAAAUAGGGAUUUACUUUAUGAUCAGGACCCUCCUAGAAAAUAAAAAUUUACUUUAUGUUCAGGACCCUCCUGGAAAAUGAAAAUUAAAUUUAUGCUCAGGACCCUUCUGAAAAAUGGAAACUUACUUUAUGUUCACUACCCUCCUAAAAAAUGGGGAUUUACUUAAUGAUCAGCACCCUCCUGAAAAAUGAGAAUUUACUUUAUGUUCAGGACCCUCCUGAAAAAUGAGAAUUUACUUUAUGCUCAGGACUAUCCUGGAAAAUAGAAAUUUACUUUAAGUUCAGGACCCUCCUAAAAUAUGGAAAUUACUUUAUGUUCAGGACCCUCUUGGAAAAUAUUGAACAUGGGAAUUUACUUAUAUUCAUGACCCUCCUGAAAAAUAAGAAUUUACUUUAUGUUUAGGACUUUCCUAGAAAAUGGGGCAUUAUUUAAUGUUCAGGACCCUCCUGGAAAAUGAGAAUCUACUUAUGUUCAUGACCCUCCUGGAAAAUGGAAAUUUACUUUAUGUUCAGGACCUUCCUGAAAAAUGAGAAUUUACUUUAUGUUCUGGAUCCUCCUGGAAAAUGGGAAUUUACUUUAUUUUUAGGACCCUCCUGAUAAAUGGAAAUUUAUUUUAUGUUCAGCACCCUCCUGAAAAGUGGGAAUUUUCUUUAUAUUCAGGACCCCCCUAAAAAAUGGGAAUUUACUUUAUGUUCAGGACUCCCCUGGAAAACAGGAAUUUACUAUAUGUUUCGGACCUUCCCUGAAAAAUGAGAAUUUACUUUAUGUUCAGGACCCCCUGGAAAAUGGAAAUUUACUUUAUGUUUGCGGCCCCCCCUAGAAAAUGAGAAUUUACUUUCUGUUCAGGAGCCUUUUGGAAAAUGAAAUUUACUUUCUGUUCAGGACCCUCCUAAAAUAUGGGACUUUACUUUCUGUUCAGGACCCUACUGGAAAAAUGGGACUUUACUUUUUGUCCUUGAUCCUCCCUAAAAUAGGGUUUUAUUUUCAGAAAAAGGGAAUCAUUCAUUACGAUAACUCUUCAAGAUAAUUUGUGUUCUAGUUUUGACUUUGAUUUCAGAAGAAUUAAAAGUUAGACGCCUGCCUGAAAAAAUAGAGUGCGAUGAAAUGGCAAGUCAGGAGCCCUCCCCAAAACUAGGGUGAUGAAAUUGAAAGUCAGGGGCUCGCCCAAAGAACAGGGUGAAGAAAUUGAAAGUCAAUCAUCAAGGUUUGAAGAAAUUGAAAGUCAAGAAACAAGGUUUGGAGAUUAAAAGUCAAGCAACAAAGUAAAGAAAGUGUAAGUCAGUAGCCCGCCUGAAAAAUAGAGUGGAGAUUUUCAAUUUCACGAUCAAGGUCCAGAAGUACCCCCGACAGAACAUGGUUAAUUUGUGAACUCAUCUCCAAAAAUCAAAUUUUGUAUGGAGAAAGAAUCUACUCCAAAGUUCAACCCAAAGAAAAUUAGCUCUUUUGUCACUUUUGAAAGCAUCGGAGACCCAAGACAAGAAUCAAGAGAUGCUGUAUAGAUAGGACUUUUGUAGUGUCAUUUAUCUUUUAACUUGUAAUUUUAUUUUGAUGUAAUGACAGCGCCGCAGACCAAAACCUCGAAGGGACCUCACUCGACUCUCCAAUUUGAUAUAGUCUCUUCUUUUAAAUCCUGGAACUACAUGCAGCCAGAUCCCCACCUAAUCUGGGAUAGGUAGGACGUCCAAAGUCAAGAUUCGAUUUCACUCGAUCUUUCUUCAGUGUUCUUUUGAAUAAUGGUCGGUCAAAAUUUUGUCUCGUUGUCUACUGCUUUGUCUAGAAACACUUUGUGUUUACAUCCAAAGAGGGACAUAAUGUAGACACGUAAUUUUAUUCUCUCCCAAAAAAUAAUUUCUACUAAUUUACCUAUCCUGCCUCCUAUCUUUCCUUACCCUUACCUAAUCCUACCUACUAAACUAGAACACCCACGUGCACCCUCCAUUUGGUUAACAAAAAAAAUAAAUACAACAUACACUCACUCACAGAAGACACAGAUGACACACACUACAUUAUCUACACAAAACAACACUACACACGCAGGGAAUUCUCUGCAUAAUUUUUCUCCACCAAACACACUGCCAUAAACACCAUCACAUAUUCACACACACAUAUUUCCAUUUUUUUCAUGGAUUAGCAAUAACCCAAUUCAUAGACACAACCUUACUUUAACAGUCAUAUACACAUGACACACAAGAAAAGAAAAAGUGGGUGAAGGGAGAGAUCGAGAUUGAGGGAAGAGAAUGACGUGCAAGAGAAAAAGAAGAGUGAUCGAGAGAGAGUGAGAAAUUGGGUGGAAAAUACACACAUACAUAUAGUGAAGUCGCGUGAGAGAGAGAGAGAGAUGAAUAGAGAGUUUGAUCAGAAAGGGAGUGAACGAAAUCCAGCUGGCUAUGUUGAGUUUUCCGGCAAAUUCUUCACCGAAAUAAGCCAAUCCCUGUCGGAUUCUAUCACACAAACUCAAAAUUGGUUCCACUAUUUGAAAACCAACGAAGCCAAGUAGAAAUCUGUUUGUCGCAACCUCCAUUCCCAGUUUUUUUGGUGAAGCAUUAAUUGGAAAUUGGGUUCGAUUAUUGUCAGUUCUCACGAUUUCUAUUUCAGGUCAGCGGAGAGCAAAUGAAGUAGUGCAUACUGAAGCUGAUUUCUACAUUGAGGGUCGAUUUAAGGUUUUGGGUUGCGGGUUUGGUCACUUCAUUUGAGUAUAUUGAAUUUUGAAAACUCCAAAUUGAGGUCCAAUUAUAUUCUCUUCUCUUUUGUUUUAUUAUUUAUUAUAUUCGAUAAUUUCAAUUGAACAUCGUGUGUUGGUUGAUCCUUGUUGAUAGUGAAUAGUUGUUUAGGGUUGAUUCAUUGAUGGUUCCUUUGACCAUACGUCGUGUGAUGAAAUGAUACCUCGCUUGAAAAUUAAAAUCGAUAAUUUGGGAAUAAAAUUAGGGUGAGAAUUGAAAAUUGAUAAAAGUAAAUAUUGUUGUGCCUUGAUUCAUCAAUUGUUGUUGGAUUUGAAAUGAAUGUUAAUUUUAUCGAAUUCGAUAGUAUCAUGUUUUAGGUCAAGAAUCAAUAGGCAAAUUUUAGGUUUGGGUAGGCAAAUUAUAGAAAUUAAUGAUUGUUAAGUGAUUGAAUUAUUGUGUUUGAGAUUGUUUUAUUUUAUCACAUAGAAUUAAAAUUGUAUUCAUUUAGAUGGGGAAUACCCUGAGGUCAUUUGUACUUAUUCACCUGGGUAUUUCCCGAAGUAUCUUGUGUGCGAAGGACGUUCAUGAUCAAGGCCCGAGGCAUCGGGUAAAGUAUAGUUUAGUACUAGUGUAGGUUAGCGUAGGUUUAUUUCAGUACCUUUUUUAUUUUGGAAUGUAAUAAUUGGACUGGACACUAUAUUUUCAUUUGGUGAUUUAUUUUUUUGUGUGUUUUAUUGGUUUAUACAUUCCAUUAGUGUUGUACUAGCCGAUACAGUUCACGGAGUGAUCGUGGUCAAACCACUAGACCGAGGGGUGCCUAACACCUUUCUUUUUGUCAACAGAAUUCCUUAACUGAAAUUUCUAUUCAUGGAUCAGUUUUAAAGAGUCAAACCAUUUUGAAAAGAAUUUCGAACAGUGACUUGGCACACCAGAUUUAUGCCAAGUGGCAACUCUGAGUUCAAAUGAAAUGGAAUCCUUUUCGAAAUUAAUUUUCAUUUUUUGUCACUUCAUAAUAAAAACCCUUUCAAACUUGAAAUCUAUUCUUUUUUUUUCGGUCAAACAGGGCUGUGACAAUUUAGGGACUAUUUUUAGAAUUCGAGUUUAUUUUUGAGUUAUAUCGGCUUAGUUUGACACUAUAGGUAUUUAGACAUUUUGUUUGUGUUAUUAUUUUAGCAUUGUUGAGUGCUUACUUGCUACGUGUUUAUAGUUUUUCCUGUUAUGUGUUACCACUUUAUAUCUGGCAUCAUUUACAUAACCCGAGUUAAUUUUUUCUGCAAUAAGUACCGGAGUACACGUCGUGUACACGAACUUUAGUUGAGUCACCCUUAUUUUAGAAGGGAGAGCCGUCGGAUGUAUGGAGUACGUAAAAAGCAAAGCAACCAUUAUCGACCAUAUAUUCUCCCGAUUAGCCUUGUUAGUGGACCCCAACAUAGGUCAGCCUUUAGAUUAUGCUUAUCUGCAUUAUAUUGGGACCUAGCAGGACUUAUUUGGUCCUUUGUAGGAAACUCACCUCCAAAGCAUUCCUAUAUGCUAAUUGUUGCAUCUUUGAGGGUAAUAUAGUCAUUUGGCAGACUGGUUUGAGAAAAACAUGUGUUAGAAUUAAAGAAGAGGGCGGGAGUGGGAGGGAGGCCAAGGUUUGGCCGCCGUGGGGGGGGGGGACAGGGGAGGGCGGGAUGGUAGGCUGAGGGUUGGGGGUUGGAAUAUAGGGACCCUUCAGGGUAAGUCCAUAGAGCUUGUGAAGAUUCUUAGGAAGAGGAGGAUCAACAUUGCGUGUGUUCAAGAGACCAAGUGGGUAGGGUCUAAGGCUAGGGAUGUGGAUGGUUACAAGCUGUGGUACGCUGGGAGCGAGAGGCGUAGGAAUGGAGUUNNNNNNNNNNNNNNNNNNNNNNNNNNNNNNNNNNNNNNNNNNNNNNNNNNNNNNNNNNNNNNNNNNNNNNNNNNNNNNNNNNNNNNNNNNNNNNNNNNNNNNNNNNNNNNNNNNNNNNNNNNNNNNNNNNNNNNNNNNNNNNNNNNNNNNNNNNNNNNNNNNNNNNNNNNNNNNNNNNNNNNNNNNNNNNNNNNNNNNNNNNNNNNNNNNNNNNNNNNNNNNNNNNNNNNNNNNNNNNNNNNNNNNNNNNNNNNNNNNNNNNNNNNNNNNNNUGGAGUUUGCGAGGGCCUUUGGGCUGGUGGUGGUGAACUCGGGCUUCCCGAAGAAGGACGAGCACCUGAUCACCUUUCGAAGUGCGCUAGCCAGGACUCAGAUUGACUUUUUGUUGCUUAGGAAAGGGGAUAGGGCAUUGUGUAAGGACUCUAAAGUCAUCCCCAGUGAGAAUCUUUUGACCUUGCAUAGGCUCUUGGUUAUGGAUUUAGGUAUAAAGAAGAAUAAAAAGAGGAGAAGUAAGGAGGGUAGAUCGAGAAUUAAGUGGGACGGCCUGACGCCAGUGAAUGCGUGGGAGAUAGGGGAGGGGUUGGCGGGAAUGGGGGUGUGGGAGUGUAGGGGGGACGUGGAUAGUAUGUGGGACAGGGCGGCAAGGUUCAUCAGGGAGAAUGCAAGUGAGAUGUUGGGUGUUUCUAGGGGCUGGGCCAGGCACCAUCGGGGGGAUUGGUGGUGGAAUGAAGAGGUGGAGAAGAAAGUGGGGACCAAGAAAGGGGCGUAUGAUAAGUUGGUGGAAAGUAAGGACGAAGAGGAGAAGCGGGUGUACAGGAAAGAGUACAAGCUAGCGAGGAAGGAGGCGAAGUCAGCAGUCACGGCUGCUAAGACGGCCGCUUUUGAGAGCUUGUAUGCAGGGUUACAGGGGAAAGGAAGGGAGAAAAAGUUGUUUAGACUCGCUAAGGCUAGGGAGAGGAAGGGUCGUGACCUCGAUCAGGUGAGGUGCAUUAAGGAGGAGGACGGUAGAGUGUUGGUGGAGGACGGCCACAUAAAGAAGAGAUGGCAGUCGUACUUUCAUAGGCUCUUGAAUGACGAGGGGGACAGAGCUAUUGUGUUAGGGGAACUGGAGCACUCAGGGGAGUGUCGGGAUUUUAGCUAUUGUAGACGUUUUAAGGUAGACGAGGUUAGACAGGCAGUCCGCAGGAUGCGAAGGGGUAGGGCGACGGGGCCGGAUGAGAUACCGGUGGAGUUUUGGAAGUUCGUUGGAGAGGCUGGUGUAAGGUGGUUGACUGCAUUGUUCAAUGAAAUUUUCAGGACAGCAAAGAUGCCCGAGGCGUGGAGGUGGAGUACCAUGAUCCCCCUCUAUAAGAAUAAGGGGGACAUUCAGUGUUGCAAUAACUAUAGGGGGAUUAAGUUACUGAGUCACUCUAUGAAGAUCUGGGAGAGAGUGGUCGAGGUGAGGCUGAGACGGAUAGUGUCUAUCUCGGAAAACCAGUUCGGAUUUAUGCCCGGCCGCUCGACGACGGAGGCAAUUCACCUGGUACGGCGGUUGGUGGAGCAAUAUAGGGAAAGGAAGAAGGAUUUGCACAUGGUGUUCAUCGACCUAGAAAAGGCGUACGACAAAGUCCCCAGGGAGGUGCUUUGGAGAUGCUUGGAGGUGAGUGGAGUACCGCAGGCAUAUAGCAGAGUAAUUAAGGAUAUGUAUGAGGGAGCGAAAACCCAGGUGAGGACGGCGGGAGGAGACUCAGAGCAUUUCACUGUCCUGACAGGAUUGCAUCAGGGAUCUACUCUUAGUCCCUUUUUGUUUGCGCUAGUAAUGGAUGUGUUAACGCGGCGUAUCCAAGGGGAGGUGCCGUGGUGUAUGCUUUUUGCAGACGAUGUAGUCCUGAUAGAUGAGACGCGAGGGGGUGUGAACGACAAAUUAGAGCUGUGGAGGCAAACUCUGGAGUCUAAAGGGUUCAGGGUGAGCAGAACCAAGACAGAGUAUGUGGAAUGUAAGUUUAAUGACGUAAGGCGAGAGAAUGAGGUAGUGGUGAGGCUAGAAGCGCAGGAGGUAAAGAAAAGGGAUAAGUUCAAGUACCUCGGGUCCGUGAUCCAGAGUAACGGUGAGAUUGACGAGGAUGUCUCGCACCGUAUCGGGGCGGGAUGGAUGAAGUGGAAACUUGCAUCGGGGGUGCUGUGUGAUAAGAAGGUGCCGCCCAAGCUUAAAGGUAAAUUCUAUAGGGUGGUAGUCCGUCCGGCCUUGCUGUAUGGAGCGGAGUGUUGGCCAGUUAAGAACUCCCACACCCAAAGAAUGAAGGUGGCAGAAAUGCGGAUGUUGCGCUGGAUGUGUGGACUGACCCGAAGGGAUAGAGCUCGGAAUGAGACUAUCCGGGAGAAGGUUGGGGUGACUUCAGUGGAGUGUAAGAUGCGGCGUGACUUCAGUGGAGUGCAAGAUGCGGGAAGCACGAUUGAGAUGGUUCGGACACGUGAAGAGGAGGGGCAUGAAUGCCCCGGUCCGUAGGUGUGAGAGGCUAGCGUUGGAUGGUUUUAGGCGGGGUAGGGGUAGGCCGAAGCAGUAAUGGGGUGAGGUGAGUAGGCGGGACAUGGAACAGUUACAGCUUACCGAGGACAUGACCCUAGAUAGGAAGGUCUGGAAGACGCGAAUUACGGCAGAGGAUUAGGGCCUGUUCGGGUCGCUAAUGUAGGGAGGUAAUUGGUGGGGGUGUAUUCCUGGUAUGAUUCCGUAUUCAAUGUUCUGUUCCGUGUUCCGUGUUCUAUGUUUGUUACGAAUCUGUGUGCUUUCCUCUCCAUGUUGUAUUACGAAUCUGUGUGCUUUCCCCUGCUUUCCUCUGCUUUAUAUUACUUAUGGGUGCCGUAUUUAUGUUAUGUAAUUUGCUUCUGUGCUGCACUAUGUGUUUGUGUGGUAUCUCGUGCCUUGAGCCGGGGGUCUAUCGGAAACAGCCUUUCUACUUCAUCAGAGGUAGAGGUAUGGACUGCGUACAUCUUACCCCCCCCCAGACCCCACUAGGUGGGAAUACACUGGGUUUGUUGUUGUUGUUGUUAUUGUGUUUAGGCAAAAACAAUUCAAAAAAAAAAGAGAAGGAAAGGAAAAAGAAAAGAAGAAAAGGUAAAUAAAAAAAGAGUUUCGUAGUAGUUUAGAGUUUUAUGGCUUUUAUUUUCUACAUAAAAAAAAUAAAUCAGAAAGAGUUUUACCUUUUGCACUCAUUUGUCAAAAACAAAAAAAAUAUAAAAUAAAUUCUUUUGAUUCUUUUAGCAUGCAUUCAUAAUUCAAAAAUUAAAAAAAAAAUAAAAAUUUAAUAGGAGAUUUUAUAAAAGAAAAUUCAAAUGAUAGAAGUUUUGUACGUUUCACAUAACGAAAACACCAAAAGAUUUCUUUCAUAGUUGUUGGUGUCAGUUUUAGGUGAAGUGUCAAAUUGAAAACUCAAAAAAAAUUAUUGACAUUGUUCAUCAUUUGUCUUUGGUUGGGUCUAUCAAGUCUGGGUUCAUUCUGCUAUUUAAUCCUUAAUUGUCCAAUCUGGAUGAACUACACACACCUGAUUCUCCUCUCUAGGGAGUGAGAUACGUAGGCAGCCCUUCUAAGGUUUGGUGAUCUAUUAAAAAAAAUUUAAAAUAAUUUUUUUUCACUCUUCAUUUAGAGUAGGUGUUUCAUAUAUGUUUAAAAAAGAAAAAUCCAAAAAGAAGAUUUUCCUUAAUAGUCUUAGAUUUAAUUUUGUGAUGAAAUUCAAAAUUAAAAAAUCCAAAAAGAUAUUCACAGUAUCUUUUGAAAAUAAUGAUAAAAGAAAGAAUUUGUUUUCUCUCUCCAUUUUAGAUUAAUUGAAUGCGCAUGUUGCUUAAUCUGAAAAGUACAAAAAAAGAGGAUUUAAAGAGGAUUUUUCUUUAAGACUUUUAGGUUUCAUUUUUGCAUGAAUUUCAAAACAAAAAAUAAAGACUAUGUAAAUAUCUUUUGAAAAAAAAGAGAAAGAAAGAUUCAUUUGGUAAUAGAUUAGUUAAUCAGUGCAUCUUUCCAUAUGAAAAAUACAAAAAGAUUUUCUUUUGAUAAUCACAGAUUUUAUUUUGCAUAGUGAAUUUAAACCUAAAUAAUUCAAAAAGAUUUUCAUCAAUUAUUUUGACAAUUUGUUAUAUUUUCUUCUUUUGGUUCAAGGAAAAAAAAAAGAAAAAUAAAGAGAGUUUUAUUGGUCCUUUUCUGACCAAACUUCAUGAACUAUGCACACCUGAUUCUCCUAUCUCGAGGGUGAGAUACGUAGGCGCCCUUCUUGGAUUCGGUGAUCUUUUUAAAAGAAAAAGAGAAUUUUUUUUGAGAAAGUGUUGAAUUCUGAUGCAUUUGUUAUCUCUUGUUCAGUUAGUUUAAGGUGGUUGGUUUAUGAUAUUUUGGUUGGUCCCCUAAAUCAUACCAAGCCUAAGCAAGAGUUAGUCAUGUCCAACAAGGAUAUAGAGAGUGACAUCAUGGAUCAGAAAAAAUAUUUGCCAAAUGAGAAUUUAAAGGAAAAGAUUAUGAGACUAAGACAACAAAUAAUAGAAAGGCACCGAGCUUGGGGCAGUUGGUUACCUUCUGCCUCAUUCCCUAUUAUUGACCCCACAAAUACUUUACGUCUUCCAUUACAAUUGCGAAUUCAAUUUCCCACUAUUGUUGAUGUACAACAACAUGCCUCAGAUUUCACUCCAAGACAAAAGCAUCCCAAUGUUUCCAUCACUCAUUCUCCAGAUCUUCGAUGUAAAUCUUCCACAUUGAUAUAUCAUUUGUGAUUUUGUUGCUUAAGCCUCUACUGAGACUUCCACAUUGGCUAUCCACCUAAUGGUUGUUCUUCUCGAGGUUGCUAGUGAAUGCAUGUUCAAUACUCCUGAUGAUCAUUGCUAUAUUCCUGAGCCUACAUCAAUGUUAAUUGGACCACCAAAAUUUCUUAAAAAGAAGGCUAAGGAUAAUUUUACACCAAUUGGGGAGUUGUAUGCCAGUUUAUUAUAGAGAUUAAGAGAGUUCGGCAUGAUCACUCCUCUUCUUCGAUGUACUCCUGAUUCAUAUUCAAGAAAUUUUGAUCCUCAUGUAUGAUGUGCAUAUCAUUUUGAUGUUCAGGGUUACAGUAUUGAAGGUUGUAGUUCUUUGAAACGAGGAAUAGAAAGGACGAUUUAAGAAAAAUUAAUCAUAGUGCAAAACGUUGAGACUACAAAGGUCACACAUAAUCCUUCACCAACACACGAGAAUGCACAAUAUGUGGGAAGCAGUAAGUCAAGCAUGGGUAUCCAAAACUUAUUUAUUAAAGGGAAUGUAUUGGAUAGCGGUGAAAGCUCUAGUCAUGAUAAUGUGCAAAUCAGUGGCUAAGAUGUCAAGCCUCUACUGAGGCUUCCACAUUGGCUAUCCACCCAAUGGUUGUGCUUCCCCAGGACACUAGUGAAUGCAUGUUUAAUACUCUUGAUGAUCAUUGCUAUAUUCCUGAGCCCACAUUAAUGUUAAUUGGACCACCAAAAUUUCUUAACAAGAAGGCUAGGGAUAAUUUUACACCAAUUGGGGAAUCGUAUACCAGUUUAUUCUAAAGAUUAAGAGAGUUGGGCAUGAUCAGUCCUCUCUUUGGAUAUACUUUUGAUUCACAUUUAAGAAAUUUUGAUCCUCAUAUACGAUAUCCAUAUCAUUCUUAUGUUUAGGGUUACAGUAUUGAAGGUUGUAGUGCUUUGAAAAGAGAAAUAGAAAGGAUGAUUCAAGAAAAAUUGAUCGUAGUGCCAAAUAUUGACAUUACAAAAGUCACACAUAAUUCUUCACCAACAUAAGAUAAUGCACAAUAUGUGGGAAACAAUGAGUCAAGCAUGGGGAUCCAGAACUUAUUUGUUGAAGAAAAUGUGUCGGAUAGUGGUGAAAGCUCUAGUCAUGAUGAUGUGUAAAUCAGUGGCUAAGAUGCCAAGCUCAGCAAUUAGGAAGUCACUUCUCUUCUUACUUGGAACGAUUGAAGGUAGUUUGUUUUGUUUUCCUUUCUGUUUUUUGAAUUAUUUUAGGGUUGUAGUUCAAAAUCUAUCGAAUUUUGUUGCUCUGUCCUCUUUGUUUAAACCCUUCUAUUUUUCCUUUUAAUGAGAUGUGAUGUCCUUUGUCGUUUUGUCCCUUUUAAGUUGAUUGUUUCUCUUCUUUAUCUAAUUACAGUUUAUGUUAGUUCUAGUGUUAUGACAUGCUUGCAGAAUUUUCAGCCAGAUCUUAAAAUUCAGUUUAAUCAUAAAACAUUGAAUUAGAGGGCUAAAGUUAAAAAAAAAAGGUAUAUGAGGAAUUGAUAGAGUGUUGAGGCAUUUGGUGACCGUGUUGAAGCCUUCUUUCAAAAUUAAGGCAAUUAUUUUGAGAAUCACAAGAAUAACUUAGUCAUCCACUGAAAAACAUAUCUCAAUUAUGUCAAAUAGUGGAUGUGUGAUCCCUAUAUGAAGAGAUAUAGGAAGAUAAUCAGCUCCACAAUAGCAUGGAUCAUUCAAUGUAAGGGAUAUACAACAAAGGUGGAGUUGUAUGUUUGACAAGUGUAGAAGAAGAAGUGUCACACAUGCUCAGUUAAAGACAAUGUUGUUAAAGUGUCACAAAUGAUCUUCAUCUUUUAUUUCAUACUGCAUGAUGUGUACUUGCAUUUUCAAGGAUUGAUAUGAUGAAGGAUUUUCAUUUUGCUAUCCAAAUAUUGUGUCAUCCUUUGUUUGCCCCAUUUAAGACUUAGUGUUGUUUUUUUUUCAUAUCCCUCUUUUGGAAUCAAGAUACAGUCAAAAAGUUUUUAAAAAGAGUGUCGAGCAAAACAAUAGAGUCAGAAAAGUUUCAAAAAAAGAGAAGAGGGAAAAAAAUAUGUCCAAAAAGAAAAAAAUAAAAGAGUGACAAGAAAAAUAGAGUUAGAAAAAAAUCUCAAAGAGAAAAGAGUCGAUAAAAGAAAAAAAGAAAAAAAAUCAGAAUCAAGCAAAAGAAUGAGUUGCCGGAACUACGCCUGACCUGAUUCUCUUCUUCUGGGGUUGAGAUACGUAGGCUGCUCCACUUUGGGAUCAGUCUAACCAAUUGAAAAAUUUAGAGUCACCCAGUCAAAAGAAACUGGGGCUUGAGUUCAUCCUCAUUGUUUGAGUCGAUUCCAAAAGUUGUAAGUCCUACCCCACUUCAAGUGUUGUUUGGGCCUCAUGUCAUCCUUCCUUUCUAAACCGUAUCCAAAAGCCAAGUUAUAACCAAAGAAAGACCUUUAGAUCAAUCUUUGAGAUGUUAAGGCUAAGCAUGUAAUGCACAUAAUAAUGUAUUUUGGGAACUACUUGUCUUCCUCAGCAUAAGAAAUCAGGAGAGAAAUAAAAAUAAGAGAAUUUUAUUGGUGAAAACCCCCACGAGCACCGUAAGACUAUGCUAAGUUGAGAGAGAUAAAAAUGAGAGAGGCUUAUUGGUGAAAACCCUUACGGGAACUGUAAAAUGACUGUUAGUUGAGAGAAAUAAUAAUAAGAGAGUCUCAUUGGUGAAAACCCUCACGGACAUCAUAAGGCGAUGGUGAGCUGAGAUAAAAUGAAAGAGACUUCUAGGCAAAAAUCCUUCAAGGUGUCACUAGCCAAAUGAGGUUUUAAAAGAAAUUGACCUAAGGAAGCUACUCAGUUUCAUGGACGAUAAUUGGUAGAAAGUUUGGAUGGAAAGAUCAGGCAACUUAAUCCAAAAUGCAUGGCAUAAUCAUUAGAAUUGACUGUCAUUUUUAGAUAAAUUUUUGUUUCUUUGUUUUAAAAAGGGGACAAAUAUUGUCUUUUCUUUCUUUGUUAUAUUUCUAUUUUUGCCCUUUGAAUCUGUCAUUCGAAUAAAAAAACAUUUUUUUUAUGUUUUUGAGUCAAGUCUAUGUCAAAAUAAGUGAGAAAGGAUUUCAAAAUUUGCUACCAACUUAUUCAAUUGCACAAAUCAAGACAAAAAGGCCAGUACAUAAAAAAAACAUGACUAUGAUUAGAAUUAAGGCAUGCAAAAAGUUUUGUCAACAAACAAGUUUGGGAACUCGCGGAAAUACAAAGGUUCAAAGGGUUUAUUUGAGAAGCAUGGCAAAGCAGAAAUACCAAGUUUGUUGCAGAGUCACUCUUAAUAAUCUGAGUUUGGGUCAAUGAUGUAGCAAAUCAAUGACUUAUACUAAUGGUUGGAAACAAGGUUAAUGGGACAAGUGCAAGAGAAAUCACCUAAAAGCCAAAGUCACAGGCCAACCACCCUGUUUUAAACUCACAAGUUUUCUUUGUAUGAAAUAGGAACAGUUGCUACCUUCUAAUCAAAGAAAUCAAUGCGCAAAUAUACAGAGGUGCAAUUUCUCAUUUUUGUAAAUACAAGAGCAGUAUUGCUGUACAGGUUUGGCAAUCACAAUCAUGGUAAAACUCAUCAUCUUGUACCCCUAAGAGGCACACUCUCUAAUUUUGGGUCUUUCAUGUCUCAUGGCUAGGAGGUGCACAUCCUAAUUUGAGCCUUUAAUCCUAAAAGAUGCAUUUUUUGUAAAAAUCUUUCAUUUUAACUCUUAAGAGAAGGACUUGUUGGUCUCAGUCAUUCAACUUUACCCUCAAAAGACAUGACUAUGAUCAGAAUUAAGGCAUGCGAAAAGUUUUAUCAACAAACAAGUUUGGGAACUCGCGGAAAUACAAAGGUUCAAAGGGUUUAUUUGAGAAGCAUGGCAAAGCAGAAAUACCAAGUUUGUUGCAGAGUCACUCUUAAUAAUCUGAGUUUGGGUCAAUGAUGUAGCAAAUCAAUGACUUAUACUAAUGGUUGGAAACAAGGUUAAUGGGACAAGUGCAAGAGAAAUCACCUAAAAGCCAAAGUCGCAAGCCAACCACCCUGUUGUAAACUCACAAGUUUUCUUUGUAUGAAAUAGGAACAGUUGCUACCUUUUAAUCAAAGAAAUCAAUGCGCAAAUAUACAGAGGUGCAAUUUCUCAUUUUUGUAAAUACAAGAGCAGUAUUGCUGUACAGGUUUGGCAAUCACAAUCAUGGUAAAACUCAUCAUCUUGUACCCCUAGGAGGCACAUUCUCUAAUUUUGGGUCUUUCAUGUCUCAUGGCUAGGAGGUGCACAUCCUAAUUUGAGCCUUUAAUCCUAAAAGAUGCAUUUUUUGUAAAAAUCUUUCAUUUUCACUCUUAAGAGAGAGACUUGUUGGUCUCAGUCAUUCAACUUUACCCUCAAAAGGUGCAUUUCUUGAUGAGAAUCUUAAUUAAACUUUGCAUUAUGCAUUGUUGCAAGUAGUUGUGAUUGGGUUUGAGACCCGCAAAAGCUUUUGAUGAUAAACUGGGGCAAAAAAAUAAUUUAAUUCUUGUUAUUAGGAACUUCACUUUAGGACCCUCCUGGAAAAUGGGAAUUUACUUUAUGUUUAGAACCCUUCUGGAAAAUGAGAAUUUACUUUAUGUUCAGGACCCUCCUGGAAAAUAGAAAUUUACUUUCUGUUCAGGACCCUCUUGGAAAUUGGGAACUUACUUUAUGUUAAGGACCCUUCUGAAAAAUGGAGAUUUACUUUAUGAUCAGGACCCUCCUGGAAAAUAAGAAUUUACUUUAUGUUUAGGACCCUCCUGAAAAAUGGGAACUUACUUUAUGUUUAGGACUCUCCUGAAAAAUGGGAACUUACUUUACGCUCAGGACCCUCCUGAAAAAUGAGAACUUACUUUAUGUACAGGACCCUCUUGAAAAAUGGGGAUUUACUAUAUGAUCAGGACUCUCCUGAAAAAUGAGAAUUUACUUUAUGUUCAGGACCCUCUUGGAAAAUAAAAAUUUAAUUUAUGCUCAGGACCCUCCUGAAAAAUGGAAACUUACUUUAUGUUUAGUACCCCUUGAAAAAUAGGGAUUUACUUAUUGAUCAACACCCUCCUUGAAAAUGGAAAUUUACUUUAUAUUCAGGACCUUCCUGGAAAAUGAGAAUUUACUUUAUGUUUAGGACCCUCUUGGAAAAUGAAAAUUUACUUUAUGUUCAGGACCCUCCUAAAAAAUGGAAAUUUACUUUAUGUUCAGGACCCUUCAGGAAAAUCCUGAACAUGGAAAUUUACUUAUGUUCAUGACCCUCCUAAAAAAUGGGAAUUUACUUUAUGUUUUGGAUCCUCCAGAUAAAUGUGACAUUAUUUAAUGUCUAGGACCCUCCUGGAAAAUGAGAAUUUAAUUAUGUUCAUGACCCUCCAGGUAAAUGGGAAUUUACUUUAUGUUCAGGACCUUACUGGAAAAUGAGAAUUUACUUUAGGUUCAGGAUCCUCCUGGAAAAUGAGAAUUUACUUUAUGUUCAGGACCCUCCUAGAAAAUGAAAGUUUAUUUUAUGUUUAGGACCCUCUUGGAAAGUGAGCAUUUAUUUUAUGUUAAGGACCCCCUUGGAAAAUGGAAAUUCACGUUAUGUUUAGGGCCUUCCCCCCCCCCCCCCCCCCCCCCCCACAAACAAAAAGCAAUAACUUAUAUUCAGGACCCCUCUGGAAAAUGGAAAUUUACUUUAUGUUCAGGACCCCCUGAAAAGUGGGAAUUUACUUUAUGUUCUGGACCCUCCUGGAAAAUGAGAAUUUACUUUCUUUUCAGGACUCUCUUGGAAAUUGGGAAUGUACUUUCUAUUCAUGACCCUCCUGAAAAAAAGGAGUUUACUUUCUGUUCAGGACCCUUCUGGAAAAUGGAAUUUACUUUCUGUUUAGGACUCUCCUGAAAAAUGAGAAUUUAAUUUCUGUUCAGGACCCUCCUGAAAAAUGGGACUUUACUUUCUGUUCAGGACCCUCCUGAAAAAUGGGACUUUACUUUUUGUCCUGGACCCUUCUAAAAAUUGUGUUUUAUUUUCAGAAAAGGGAAACAUUCAUUACCAUAAUUCUUCAAGAUAAUUUGUGUUCUAGUUUUGACUUUGAUUUUAGGAGAAUUGUAAGUUAGAAACCCACCUGAAAAAUAGAGUGUAAUGAAAUGGAAAGUCAGGAGCCCGCCUAACAAAUAGGGUGAUGAAAUUAAAACUCAGGGGCCCGCCUGAAGAACAGGGUGGAAAUUGAAAGUUAAGCAACAAGGUUUGAAAAAAUUGAAAGUCAAGAAACAAGGUUUGGAGAUUGAAAGUCAAGCAACAAAGUAAAGAAAUUGUAAGUCAGUAGCCCGCCUGAAAAAUAGAGUGGAGAUUUUCAAAUUCACGAUCAAGGUCCAGAAGUACCCCCGACAGAACAUGGUUAAUUUGUGAGUUCAUCUCCAAAAAUCAAAUUUUGUAUGGAGAAAGAAUCUAAUCCAAAGUUCAACCCAAAGAAAAUUAGCUCUUUUGUCACUUUUGAAAGUAUCGGAGACCCAAGACAAGAAUCAAGAGAUGCUGCAUAGAUAGGACUUUUGUAGUGUCAUUUAUCUUUUAACUUGUAAUUUUAUUUUGAUGUAAUGACAGGGCCGUAGACCAAAACCUCGAAGGGACCUCACUCGACUGUCUAAUUUGAUAUAGUCUCUUCUUUUAAAUCCUAGAACUACAUGCAGCCAGAUCCCCACCUAAUCUGGGAUAGGUAGGACGUCCAAAGUCAAGAUUCGAUUUCACUCGAUCUUUCUUCAGCGUUCUUUUGAAUAAUGGUUGGUCAAAAUUUUGUCUCGUUGUCUACUUCUUUGUAUGGAAACACUUUGUGUUUACAUCCAAAGAGGGGCAUAAUGUAGACACAUAAUAUUUUCCUCCCCAAAAAAUUAAUUUCUACUAAUUUACCUAUCCCUACCCCUACCCUACCUCUACCUACCCUGCCGCUAUCUGCCCCUACCCUACCUAAUCCUACUCACUAAACUGCCACACCCACGUGCACCCUCCAUUUGGUUAACAAAAAAAAUACAACAUAUACUCACUCACAGAAGACACAGAUGACACACACUACAUUAUCUACACACACUACACACAGGGAAUUCUCUGCAUAAUUUUUCUCCACCAAACAUAUUGCCAUAAACACCAUCAUAUAUUUACAUACACACAUAUCUUAAUUUUUUUCAUGGAUUAGAAACAACCCAAUCCAUAGACACAACCUCACUUUUACAGUCAUAUACACAAGACACAGGGGAAAAGAAAAAAGAGGGUGAAGGGCG